UGGUCCCAGUCGUCACGGUUCAACUCGGUGAACCUGUGACUUUGUCUUGUGCUUUUUCGGAGAGACUUCAGAGCACAUGGCUUAACUGGUAUAAACAGAGUGCAGGAGAUACUCUGAAAUUCAUUGUGAUGCAACAGAAAAGCAUAGACCCAAAAUAUGAUCCAAAUGCACCUGCUUCAAGAAUGAAAGCAACAAUUGAUGACAAACUCAGUAAUCUAACGAUUACGAAGACAGUUCUGCAAGAUGAAGGAAUGUAUCAUUGUGCUCGAAUGGACUGGACUGAAACUAUUUGGAGUGGAAUUUACUUGUCAAUUAAAGGAAAAUCUCAAAGGACAAUGAGCUACACUGUUCUUCAGAACCCAGUUUCUGAUCCCGCCCGCCCAGCAGACUCAGACACUCUUCAGUGUUCAGUCAUCUCUGAGUCUGAGGACAAAGCUUGUUCAGGGGAACUCAGUGUGUUCUGGUUCAGGACCGGAUCAAAACAGUCUUAUCCAAGUAUCAUGUACACUAAUGACAAAGGACUGCAUAAUUGUGAGAACACAUUGACAUCAAAUGCUCAGAAAAAAUGUAGUUACAGCUUUUCUAAGAACUUAAACUCCUCUGAUACAUUGUACUGUGCUGUGGCAACAUGUGGAGAGAUAUUAUUUGGAAAAGAAACUAAUCCAUCAGCAGAUCAAUCACCAAGUUCUAAAGUUAAUGUGCUGAUGAUCAUAAUAAUCUGCUUGGUCAUUUCCUUGACUAUAAAUAUUGUUUUUAUUUGUCACCGAUUUCAAAGAUCAGUAUGUAGAAACU